ACACAGAGGAAGGGGCAGACUGCGUGUGAAGUCCUGCAAACAUAUGGCGAUAUCAGAUAAAGCACACGUUUUUCAGGGAAAACAGGCACCCAACACAGAGACUAUACAGUGGCACAAGAAAAGGGGAAUAGAACUUGUCACCAUCAUCAGUCCUUUAUUUAAUUCACUGGAGAACAUCACAACCUUCAGAUGUGUCAUAUCAGGAUAAAUGCAGCUGCAGGGAAAAUUAUAUGAAGGACCCACCCCACUCCAGAUUCACCAAGGAUCCAGCUGAAGCCCCGUUCACACUACAAGCGACACGCAACGUCAAAGCAACACGAUCCCAUUCAUUUCAAUGGAGAGCUGGUGAUUUCCGGCGACAAGAACGACAGAGGCCGUUGGUGACCGGAUGGGGCAUGUC